UACAGAGGGUGCUAGCGUUGUUCGGAAUUACUGGGCGUAAAGCGCGCGUAGGUGGCGCGGUAAGUUAGGAGUGAAAUCCUGGGGCUUAACCUCAGAACUGCUCUUAAGACUGCUGCGCUAGAGGUAGGCAGAGGAUGGUGGAAUUCUUAGUGUAGCGGUGAAAUGCGUAGAUAUUAAGAGGAACACCAGUGGCGAAAGCGGCCAUCUGGGCCUAUUCUGACACUAAAGUGCGAAAGCGUGGGGAGCAAACAGG
rnacentral:rRNA from 1 species